GAUGAACGCUGGCGGCGUGCCUAAUACAUGCAAGUCGAGCGAACAGACGAGGAGCUUGCUCCUUCGACGUUAGCGGCGGACGGGUGAGUAACACGUAGGUAACCUACCUAUAAGACUGGGAUAACUUCGGGAAACCGGAGCUAAUACCGGAUAAUAUUUCGAACCGCAUGGUUCGAUAGUGAAAGAUGGCUUUGCUAUCACUUAUAGAUGGACCUGCGCCGUAUUAGCUAGUUGGUAAGGUAACGGCUUACCAAGGCAACGAUACGUAGCCGACCUGAGAGGGUGAUCGGCCACACUGGAACUGAGACACGGUCCAGACUCCUACGGGAGGCAGCAGUAGGGAAUCUUCCGCAAUGGGCGAAAGCCUGACGGAGCAACGCCGCGUGAGUGAUGAGGGUCUUCGGAUCGUAAAACUCUGUUAUUAGGGAAGAACAAACGUGUAAGUAACUGUGCACGUCUUGACGGUACCUAAUCAGAAAGCCACGGCUAACUACGUG
rnacentral:rRNA from 1 species